AGUGAACGCUGGCGGUAGGCCUAACACAUGCAAGUCGAACGGCAGCACCGGAGAGCUUGCUCUCUGGGUGGCGAGUGGCGGACGGGUGAGGAAUACAUCGGAAUCUACUCUGUCGUGGGGGAUAACGUAGGGAAACUUACGCUAAUACCGCAUACGACCUACGGGUGAAAGCAGGGGACCUUCGGGCCUUGCGCGAUUGAAUGAGCCGAUGUCGGAUUAGCUAGUUGGCGGGGUAAAGGCCCACCAAGGCGACGAUCCGUAGCUGGUCUGCGCGGAGGAUCAGCCACACUGGAACUGAGAGACGGUCCAGACUCCUACGGGAGGCAGCAGUGGGGAAUGUUGGAAAAUGGGCCGAAGCCUGAUCCAGGCAUACCGCGUGGGUGGAGGAGGGCUUCGGGUUGUGAGGGCCUUUUGUUGGGAAAGAAAUCCAGCUGGCUAAUACCCGGUUGGCAUGACGGUACCCAAAGAAUAAGCACCGGCUAACUUCGUGCCAGCCGCCGCAGUAA
rnacentral:rRNA from 1 species